UGGGGAAUAUUGCACAAUGGGGGAAACCCUGAUGCAGCGACGCCGCGUGAACGAAGAAGGUAUUCGUAUCGUAAAGUUCUGUCCUAUGGGAAGAUAAUGACAGUACCAUAGAAGAAAGCUCCGGCUAAAUACGUGCCAGCAGCCGCGGUAAUACGUAUGGAGCGAGCGGUGUCCGGAAUUAUUGGGCGGAAAGGGUACGCAGGCGGUUUAAUAAGUCGAAUGUUAAAGAUCGGGGCUCAACCCCGCAAAGCAUUGGAAACUGAUAAACUUGAGUAGUGGAGAGGAAAGUGGAAUUCCUAGUGUAGUGGUGAAAUACGUAGAUAUUAGGAGGAAUACCAGUAGCGAAGGCGACUUUCUGGACACAAACUGACGCUGAGGUACGAAAGCGUGGGGAGCAAACAGG
rnacentral:rRNA from 1 species